UUUUAAUGCAUAAAGGAAAAUAAAAUAAGCCUAACAAAAUUGGUUUCACUAAUUUUGGACAGUCCUAGAAAUUUCUAUGAUUUAAAAGGUGAGAUUCAGAUUUAAACUAAUUAUUCUAUAAAGGAAAUCUAAUUUUCCCGAAGAACACCCCCGGCAACUUUUCUCACGUGACCCUAUUCUACCCCCUCUCUCUUACGCUGGGCCCGCGACUCGGACCCACCCCUUCUCCUAUUCAUCCUACCCGCUGGCCUACCCCCUCCUCUAACGGGCUCUCUGGGCCGAUUCUUCUUUUCCUUUUCUCUUCUCGGACCGGCACCGGCCCAACGGCCCACUCUUUCUUUUCUUU
rnacentral:lncRNA from 1 species